GACGAACGCUGGCGGCGUGCUUAACACAUGCAAGUCGAGCGGUAAGGCCCUUUCGGGGGUACGACGAGCGGCGAACGGGUAGGAGUAACACGUGGGUGGACCUCGCCCUCCAGCUCCUGGGAGUAAGCCUGGGAAACGUAGGGUCGUAAUACUGGAGUAUGACUCCACGGUGCAUGUCGUGGGGUGGAAAGCCUUGUGCGGCUGAGGAUGGCCCGCGGCCUAUCAGCUUGUUGGUGGGGGAUGGCCUACCAAGGCGACGACGGGUAGCCGGCCUGAGAGGGCGACCGGCCACACUGGGACUGAGACACGGCCCAGACUCCUACGGGAGGGCAGCAGUGGGGAAUCUUGCGCAAUGGGCGAAAGCCUGACGCAGCGACGCCGCGUGAGGGAUGACGGCCU
rnacentral:rRNA from 1 species